rnacentral:rRNA from 1 species
CCUAAGGUAGCGAAAUUCCUUGUCAGGUAAGUUCUGACCCGCACGAAAGGUGUAAUGAUCUGGACACUGUCUCAACCAUAGACUCGGUGAAAUCUUAAUACCUGUGAAAAUGCAGGUUACCCGCAACAGGACGGAAAGACCCCAUGGAGCUUUACUGUAGCUUGAUAUUGAGGUUCGGUGUAUUAUGUAGAGGAUAGGUGGGAGACUAAGAAGCUAGGACGCCAGUUCUAGUAGAGUCAACCUUGGAAUACCACCCUUAAUACAUUGGACUUCUAACCUAGGACCGUAAUCCGGUUCAGGGACAGUGUCUGGUGGGCAGUUUGACUGGGGCGGUCGCCUCCCAAAGAGUAACGGAGGCGCUCAAAGGUUCCCUCAGAAUGUUUGGAAAUCAUUCUAAGAGCGUAAAGGUAUAAGGGAGCUUGACUGCGAGACCAACAAGUCGAGCAGAUACGAAAGUAGGACUUAGUGAUCAGACGAUGCAGAAUGGAAUGGUCGUCGCUUAACGGAUAAAAGUUACCCUGGGGAUAACAGGCUGAUACCACCCAAUAGUUCACAUAGACGGUGGUGUUUGGCACCUCGAUGUCGGCUCGUCAUAUCCUGGAGGUGGAGUCGCUUCCAAGGGUUGGGCUGUUCGCCCAUUAAAAUGGCACGCGAGCUGGGUUCAGAACGUCGUGAGACAGUUCGGUCCCUAUCCGUCGUGGGCGCAGGAAAAUUGAGGAGAGCUAUCCUUAGUACGAGAGGACCGGGAUGGACCUACCUCUGGUGUAUCUGUUGUCACGCCAGUGGCAGUGCAGAGUAGCUAUGUAGGGAAGGGAUAAACGCUGAAAGCAUCUAAGCGUGAAGCCCUCUCCAAGAUGAGUUUUCCCAUUGUUUAACAAGUAAAAUCCCAGAAAGACUAACUGGUAGAUAGGCUAGAAGUGGAAGUGUAGUGAUACAUUGAGCGGACUAGUACUAAUAGAUUGAGGAUUUAAUCC